rnacentral:rRNA from 1 species
AUGCGCAAGGGCCUCGCCUCUGCAGUCCUGCUCGUCCCUUGGAUGCCAUGGAAGCACCGCAAUGACUGUGUUUUCAACCAGGGCCGCCCUUCGGUUACUGAGCUGCUCGUGAAGAUCAAGGAGGAAGCCGCCCUUUGGGCUGUCGCUGGCGCGUUAGGCCUUAGAGCUAUCAUCCCACAAACCUGGGACGUUCAUUGA